AUUCAGCUAACGAGUUUCAAAUAGGACGAAAUGCGCGUCCUAGAU
rnacentral:hammerhead_ribozyme from 1 species